rnacentral:rRNA from 1 species
GACGAACGCUGGCGGCGUGCUUAACACAUGCAAGUCGAACGGAAAGGCCCCUUUGGGGGUACUCGAGUGGCGAACGGGUGCGUAACACGUGAGUAACCUGCCCUUGACUUCGGGAUAACUUCAGGAAACUGGGGCUAAUACCGGAUAGGAAUCCUUGCUGCAUGGUGGGGGUUGGAAAGCUUCGGCGGUUUUGGAUGGACUCGCGGCUUAUCAGCUUGUUGGUGGGGUAGUGGCUUACCAAGGCUUUGACGGGUAGCCGGCCUGAGAGGGCGACCGGCCACAUUGGGACUGAGAUACGGCACAGACUCCUACGGGAGGCAGCAGUGGGGAAUAUUGCACAAGGGGCGGAAGCCUGAUGCAGCAACGCCGCGGGCGGGAUGACGGCCUUCGGGUUGUAAACCGCUUUCAGCAGGGGCGAAGCUUGUGGUGACGGUACCUGCAGAAGAAGCACCGGCUAACUACGUG